rnacentral:lncRNA from 1 species
UUUGAUCUUUUUUAAUUUUUGUUAGGUUUUUUGUUUUGCAUGAAUAGGGUUGGAUUUAGUGUGUAAAUUUCUGAGUUAGUUGAUAAGUUGUUUGGUGUUAUACUGUGUUAAUGAUGGUAACCCGAUAGUAUAUUAGCCUACCUCUAUACAUCGAAAGCUCACUCUUCUAUCUCUACUCUGGGCCAAUUCACUCUGUAGACCUCUCAAACUCUCGUCAUCAUUGUCAUCAUUAUCUAAUCGACAAGUCCAUGG